UGCCAGCAGCCGCGGUAAUACGAAGGGUGCAAGCGUUAUCCGGAUUCACUGGGUUUAAAGGGUACGCAGGCGGUCUUGUAAGUCGAUGGUGAAAUCUAGCAGCUUAACUGUUAACGUGCCAUCGGUACUGCUUGACUUGAGUAUAGUCGAGGUGGGCGGAAUUCUACAUGUAGCGGUGAAAUGCAUAGAUAUGUAGAGGAACACCGAUAGCGAAGGCAGCUCACUAGGCUAUUACUGACGCUGAGGUACGAAAGCGUGGGGAGCGAACAGGAUUAGAUA
rnacentral:rRNA from 1 species